UUAUCGUAUUGAUCAAUGAGAUCAAGGGGCCGUGUGGUUUAUAAUUCGCUGUGAUUACCAGACAAGCCAGAAUCACGUGAAAUAAGUAAACAAACUCAGUGUACCCUAGUGAGUGUAGGAGAAUGAGAGCACGGGGGGUAUAUAAACAGACGGCGAAGGUUAAACUGGCCUUCCGAGCCACAACUAAAACCUAGUUUGAGCAGGGAUCGAUGCUACUGGUGGGUCGACACAGUGGAUGGAGCUCCGGACCUGUACGACCCACACUCAUCGUUCCCCGCUCGAAACAGUGCAAUUGCUGGCCCAGGACCCUCGCAGCCCCCCUCCCAUGCUCCCAGUGAAGCAGAUCCAGAGUCUCUGACUGCUGUGCUCUACAACAACAAAGUGAUGCUGACCAGUCCAGUAUUGCUGAAGACGAGGAUGAUGCCUUAGGGGUGACCUUCAUAGAGAAUGUGACAGUGACAGCCUUUGUGGUGCCAGAAGGUAAGGGUGUGGAGCUGACAGCUUUGCGAAGUUGAAGGGCCUGAAGUGCUUCUGCAAGCUCAAUGAUGGCCUGCCUUGCAACAGCCAGUUCGAAUCAACUGCUUUUGACGAUCUGCGUUUGUCUUUUGCUGGUAUGACACGAGAGGAGCAUAAUAUUUUUUGGACGCGUUUUUACGUAAUUCAAUGAUUUACUAUUGUAACAUAAAAACAGUCAUAACUUCACAUAGAAGAGAGGUAUUUCACUAAAAUAAAAAGCAAACUGUCCACGAAUGGCACCUCUAUGCUGUGGUAUCAGCAUUAUUUGCUUCUAUGCAUUGUCAUCAUGGAAAAUAGCAUUGUCAUCAUGGAAAAUGUGUUCCCAAAGUAAGCAAAACUUUAAAACCUGUUUUCUCAAAAUUUGACACUCGAACCCCUGUUCGCUUUAAAAUGCCAUAACUUUUCACAGAAUGCCCCAGUUGCUUUCAAAUAAAGUACAAAAUGCUCGGAAAA